AGAUAAUCCCGGGCGACCGGGGAAAGGUUGGGUCAGGCUGAUUGACCCCGCCCCUCUGAAACGAAAUUGAAAGAUUUGGUGGAGAGGCAGGAUUCACCGGUUUCUCUGGCAGGUUCGCGCCUGUCAGUAACGCGAAAGACGAAACCGGGCGGAUAGGAACGAUUAGAAACCGUUCCGAACCAGAUCAAGUAGUUCGGGCAAGUUUCGAGCCUGAACGAAUCGCAGUUGCCAAAAGGCAUCGGUUGCUACUGCGCAUCAGCACGGAUGGAUGACUCUGGCGGUCGUGAAAAACGAUCAGCCAAAUCAAAAACGCCGAAAGGCGGCACAAAGUGAGCAUCCAGACCGGGAAGGACACAAAGACUUGGCAGGUCAUGUGAAAACCUUCCGCAAGCGGCGGCGUUAAAAACAACACCGCUGCAUUGUGAAAAGAAAGCGACCUGCGAGUGAAGAGGCGAGACCCGUGGCCUCGGGCGAACGCACCGUCAAAAGCGGUGGCUGACCCGAAGCUAACGGUCAAGACGCGAACAAAGAAAACACAAGCGUGUCUUGACCUGGUUCGCAAGCUGGUGCUGCAAACAUCGGCCCAAGCGAGCUGAAAAGCCUCACUCAAAAUCCGGACGCCGCAAGGUGCUGGACGGCCCUGCUACGAGGCCGAUAACUCCGCUUGCCGUGGAGAAUGGCGUCGGGAAACCGGCAGCCCCCAACAAGGGUUGUGCGCCUAAUGCCGGUUCGGGAAAGAGAGUGUGGCGAACUCC
rnacentral:ncRNA from 1 species